GCACUACUGAAGAGUCCCCUAAUGAGACGAAACAGCUGUCCAGUGC
rnacentral:hammerhead_ribozyme from 1 species